GUUAAAGCAACGAAGUUACUUAUUUCUGCUAAUUUUAUUGUUAAUAGAUUAACGGAGGACAUCGCAGUAUUUGCCAGUUCAGUAGCGCAUUUAUAUAGUAGUGUGACCAAGCCUUGCUUCGAUUUGAUGCUUAUUGGUAUUGCUUUAAUGCGGUCCACACAAAAAAUGAAAGCCAACAUUUUUUCAGGCCCAACACUAGCUGUUGCCGUGAUAUCCUUAACAGCGCAUAUAAUGCGAGUGGUUUCCCCAAAAUUCGGUCAGCUCGUUGCGGAGGAAGCCAAUCGCUAUGGCUAUUUACGGCAUAUACAUUCUCGAAUUAUUACGAAUUCUGAAGAAAUUGCAUUUUACGGAGGUCACAAGGUAAGUUCUUAAAUAAUUUAAUUUUUUUAAGAUUGCAUUUUUUCUGGGCUGUGAAAAUAUCAGAAGCUGCAGAUAAAAGCUGUGUUUAGAUACUGGUGGAUAGUUCUGCGUAUACGCAUGCAGAUGAAGUUUUUGAUCGCCUUUCAACUCACGACUUCCGGUCUUUACACUAAGUAUCCUCUGGCUAGCAACCGAACAUCCUUUCGGAAGCGAGCUAAUUCUAUAACAUGCAAUUUUUGCGACUGCUCGCAACACUGCGCCACCGAUUUCUAUCGUUUACCUCAGUUGACGAAAUUUGCAUCAAAGCGAGAUUCUUCUACAUCUCGCUCAUUUGCACCCACGCUCUACGGAGCGCACAUAGCACAUACAAACGCGGUUCCCGUCACGAUAUUAAAAUACUGUUCAGCGAUUUCAACUCCAGGGUGGGCAAAGAAGAAAUAUUUGGCCCCACCGUCAGAAAAUGCAGCCUCUACGACGAAACUUUCGAUAAAGGACUGAGGCUGAUCAAAUUCGCCGGGCUCGAAACAUGGUAAUAUACAGUACUAUGUUCCGGCAUAAAAGCAUCGUAUAGCUGCGUGGAUGUUCCCAUAUGGUAAAACAAAAAAACCAAAUCGAUCAUGUUGUAGGAGAUGGUAGUCAUGUUUCAAGUGUUUUAGACGUACGUAAACGCCGAGGGCCAAACAUCGACUCAAACCACUGUCUUUUUGCAGCCAAGAUAAGCACACGCCUUUGUGCAGAAAAAGAUGUGUGUACAGCGGCACAAGGAAAGCCCAAGAUUGAAAAGUUGUAAUCAAAACAGACAGCCAGCGUCUUCGCCACUCGACUCUAACUUGCUAGCCAGAAUGGUGAGGCUGUGGUAUGUAGUAAGAGCUGUCAAAAGUAAAAAUAUUCUAAAUGCUCCAAACUGCCCACAAUAUGUAGCUGUGGUUGUGGUGUUUUAUUGCUGAUGUAGCUAGCGAAAUAGCUUGUAGCUAGCGAAAUACUUGUGGCGAGAAGUGGAACCACAUUUCCCGCUUUUUGCGUACCGCCGAAUGAAAAGAAAACAUGCCGCCCACAAGGCUACGCUGCGAUCGGGCGCAACGCGAGCUUUUUGCCGAAAUACGCGAGAUUCAAGAACUUGAAAUACUGAGCGGCAGCCAAAACGUUAAAAAAUUGUAUCUGAAAGUUGGGCAACUUCGGGAAGGUUUAAAGACCAGAGAAUUUCUCUAAGAACAAACAUGAUGACCUACUGACCGAUAUACAUAGCGUGCUUAAAUUGUGGAGGGAACACUUUUCCACCCUAUUGAAUGGUAGCAUUCCCACCGCCGGACAUU